rnacentral:rRNA from 1 species
AGUUCGAUUCUGGCUCAGAUUGAACGCUGGUGGAUGCUUUUACACAUGCAAGUCGAACGGCAGCACGGACUUCGGUCUGGUGGCGAGUGGCGAACGGGUGAGUAAUGUAUCGGAACGUGCCUAGUAGCGGGGGAUAACUACGCGAAAGCGUAGCUAAUACCGCAUACGCCCUUCGGGGGAAAGCGGGGACCUUCGGGCCUCGCACUAUUAGAGCGGCCGAUAUCGGAUUAGCUAGUUGGUGGGGUAACGGCUCACCAAGGCGACGAUCCGUAGCUGGUUUGAGAGGACGACCAGCCACACUGGGACUGGAGACACGGCCCAGACUCCCUACGGGAGGCAGCAGUGGGGAAUUUUGGACAAUGGGGGAAACCCCUGAUCCAGCCAUCCCGCGUGUGCGAUGAAGGCCUUCGGGUUGUAAAGCACUUUUUGGCAGGAAAAAGAAACGGCACGGGAUAAUACCCCGUGCAACUGACGGUACCUGCAGAAUAAGCACCGGCUAACUACGUGCCAGCAGCCGCGGUAAUACGUAGGGUGCAAGCGUUAAUCGGAAUUACUGGGCGUAAAGCGUGCGCAGGCGGUUCGGAAAGAUGAAAUCCUGGAGCUUAACUUUGGAACUGCAUUUUUAACUACCGAGCUAGAGUGUGUCGAGGGGAGGUGGAAUUCCGCGUGUAGCAGUGAAAUGCGUAGAUAUGCGGAGGAACACCGAUGGCGAAGGCAGCCUCCUGGGAUACCGACGCUCAUGCACGAAAGCGUGGGAGCAACAGGAUUAGAUACCCUGGUAGUCCACGCCCUAAACGAUGUCAACUAGCUGUUGGGGCCUUCGGGCCUUGGUAGCGCAGCUAACGCGCGAAGUUGACCGCCUGGGGAGUACGGUCGCAAGAUUAAAACUCAAAGGAAUUGACGGGGACCCGCACAAGCGGUGGAUGAUGUGGAUUAAUUCGAUGCAACGCGAAAAACCUACCUACCCUUGACAUGUCUGAAUCCUGAAGAGAUUUGGGAGUGCUCGCAAGAGAACCGGAACACAGGUGCUGUAUUUUGGCUGCCGUCAGCUCGUGUCGUGAGAUGUUGGGUUAAGUCCUGCAACGAGCGCAACCCCUUGUCAUUAGUUGCUACGAAAGGGCACUCAAUGAGACUGCCGGUGACAAACCGAGGAAGGUGGGGAUGACGUCAAGUCCCUGCUUUUGGCCCUUAUGGGUAGGGCUUCACACGUCAUACAAUGGUUUGGACAGAGGGUCGCCAACCCGCGAGGGGGAGCCAAUCCCAGAAACCCGAUCAGUCCGGAUCGCAGUCUGCAACUCGACUGCGUGAAGUCGGAAUCGCUAGUAAUCGCGGAUCAGCAUGUCGCGGUGAAUACGUUCCCGGGUCUUGUACACACCGCCCGUCACACCAUGGGAGUGGGUUUUACCAGAAGUAGUUAGCCUAACCGUAAGGAGGGCGAUUACCACGGUAGGAUUCAUGACUGGGGUGAAGUCGUAACAAGGUAA